rnacentral:rRNA from 1 species
GAUGAACGCUGGCGGCGUGCCUAAUACAUGCCAGUCGAGCGAACAGACGAGGAGCUUGCUCCUCUGAUGUUAGCGGCGGACGGGUGAGUAACACGUGGAUAACCUACCUAUAAGACUGGGAUAACUUCGGGAAACCGGAGCUAAUACCGGAUAACAUGUUGAACCGCAUGGUUCAACAGUGAAAGACGGUCUUGCUGUCACUUAUAGAUGGAUCCGCGCCGCAUUAGCUAGUUGGUAAGGUAACGGCUUACCAAGGCAACGAUGCGUAGCCGACCUGAGAGGGUGAUCGGCCACACUGGAACUGAGACACGGUCCAGACUCCUACGGGAGGCAGCAGUAGGGAAUCUGCCGCAAUGGGCGAAAGCCUGACGGAGCAACGCCGCGUGAGUGAAGAAGGUCUUCGGAUCGUAAAACUCUGUUAUUAGGGAAGAACAAAUGUGUAAGUAACUAUGCACGUCUUGACGGUACCUAAUCAGAAAGCCACGGCUAACUACGUG